rnacentral:rRNA from 1 species
ACGUAGGUGGCAAGCGUUGUCCGGAAUUAUUGGGCGUAAAGCGCGCGCAGGCGGCCUUUUAAGUCUGAUGUGAAAGCCCCCGGCUCAACCGGGGAGGGUCAUUGGAAACUGGAAGGCUUGAGUACAGAAGAGAAGAGUGGAAUUCCAUGUGUAGCGGUGAAAUGCGUAGAGAUGUGGAGGAACACCAGUGGCGAAGGCGACUCUUUGGUCUGUAACUGACGCUGAGGCGCGAAAGCGUGGGGAGCAAACAGGAUUAGAUACCCUGGUAGUCCACGCCGUAAACGAUGAGUGCUAGGUGUUGGGGGGUUUCCGCCCCUCAGUGCUGAAGCUAACGCAUUAAGCACUCCGCCUGGGGAGUACGGCCGCAAGGCUG